AUUCCAGCUCCAAUAGUGUAUAUUAAAGUUGUUGCAGUUAAAAAGCUCGUAGUUGGAUUUCUGGCGGGAGCGAUCGGUCCUUCACUCAGUGUUGGAACCUGAUUGUCUCCUGCCAUCCAUGGAGAAAACUUAUCUGGCAUUAAGUUGUCGGGUAGGCAAUCUCCAUCUUUUACUGUGAAAAAAUUAGAGUGUUCAAAGCAGGCUUAUGCCGUUGAAUAUAUUAGCAUGGAAUAAUAAGAUAGGACUAUGGUACUAUUUUGUUGGUUUGUGCACCAUGGUAAUGAUUGAUAGGGACAGUUGGGGGUGCUAGUAUUGAGCGGCCAGAGGUGAAAUUCUUGGAUUCGCUCAAGACUAACUUAUGCGAAAGCAUUCACCAAGGAUGUCUUCAUCA
rnacentral:rRNA from 1 species